CAAAAAGUAAGUAAGGGCACAUGGCGGAUGCCUUGGCUCUCGGAGGCGAUGAAGGACGUGAUAAGCUGCGAUAAGCUGCGGGUAGGUGCAAAUAACCUUUGAUCCGCGGAUUUCCGAAUGGGACAACCCGAUACUUUGAAGAAGUAUCAUCCUACCACGUAGGAGGCUAACGCAGGGAACUGAAACAUCUUAGUACCUGCAGGAAAAGAAAAUAAAUAAUGAUUCCCCUAGUAGUGGCGAGCGAACGGGGAACAGCCCAAACCAUCCAUGUUACGGCAUGGCUGGGGUUGUAGGACCACGCUGUGGCAAGAAAACUGAUGAGAAGAAUGUUCUGGAAAGUUCAACCAUAGAGCAUGAUAGUUGCGUAUUCGAAGUCAGUCGAAGCCUAGUGGUAUCCUGAGUAGCGCGGAGCACGAGGAAUUCUGCGUGAAUCUGCCGGGACCAUCCGGUAAGGCUAAAUACUCCCGAGAGACCGAUAGUGAACCAGUACUGUGAAGGAAAGGUGAAAAGCACUUCGAACAGAAGAGUGAAAUAGUUCCUGAAACCAUGUGCCUACAAGCGGUCGGAGCACCUUCUGGUGUGACGGCGUGCCUUUUGCAUAAUGAACCUACGAGUUACUUUUUCCGGCAAGGUUAAGGGUCUCAGACCCGGAUCCGAAGCGAAAGCGAGUCUGAACAGGGCGUAUAGUCGGAAGGAGUAGACGCGAAACCAAGUGAUCUACCCUUGGGCAGGUUGAAGGAUGGGUAACACCAUCUGGAGGACCGAACCAAUAAGCGUUGAAAAGCUUCUGGAUGACCUGAGGGUGGGGGUGAAAGGCUAAUCAAACUUGGAGAUAGCUCGUACUCCCCGAAAUGCAUUUAGGUGCAGCCUUGACUUAUACUGACAUGAGGUAGAGCGACUGAUAAGAUGCGAGGGCUUCACCGCCUAUCAAGUCUUGACAAACUCCGAAUGCGUGUCAGUUCUAUGUCAGGAGUGAGGGCAUGGGUGCUAAGGUCCAUGUCCUAAAGGAGAACAAUCCGGACCAACAGCUAAGGUCCCGAAAUGAAUACUAAGUUGAACUAACGAAGUCAGAUUGCUAAGACAGCUAGGAUGUUGGCUUGGAAGCAGCCAUUCAUUUAAAGAGUGCGUAACAGCUCACUAGUCGAG
rnacentral:rRNA from 1 species